CAUUUGGACCUAACUCGGGCGGGCAGCUGGCAUAAAGCACACAUGUGGCAGUGGGGCUCGGCGGCUUUUGGCAGAAAGAUUUAUCAUAACAGUCCACCACAGCCUUCCUAGAAUAUAAGCCUUUUCUGUUUUGUGUGGGUUGAGGCUAUUGCCCCUCCAGCUGGCCUGCUGGGUCCUCCUGCCUUCCUCAGCUUCUUCCAGGAAUGUCACACCCAGUGCUAUGUAUAUGGAGACAAUUCAAUGACUUCUCACUGGGUUAGGAAAGGAGUCCCUUCUUGUGGGACUUCAAUGCUAGGCCUUGGUUGAUUUUGGAUUUGUUCUUCCAGUAAAACAAAAUGGAAGACCAAAAGUCAGACUUCAAAGAUGAUAAUCGCAAAAGGCUUUUUCUGCAUGCCAUCCCAGGUGCCUUUGAUGGGCGUGGGGAGACAGGCAAACUCCCACUUUGUCCCUAGUGGCUCACAGCCACCUGGCCUGAGUGUUUACUACUUUUGCAUGACUCCCCUUGGCUAGAAGACGUCCCUAGUGCAGUGUAAACAUAGGAGAGAGAGAGGGAAAACAACCCUACAAGGCAAACAGAAGCAGCAGAACUCCAGGAUAAUGCCCCAUGGAUGCUCUCCCUGAAGCCCCAUCAUGGAUGAAGAAGUGAGGAGCUAGGAGCCACCACCAGUUCCAAUCCUGCCCAAGGGCAUUUUAGUCACAUUCUGGAAACAAGAGAGAAGUUGAGUGGCCCCAAGACAAACCUGCAUAAGGAAGUGUGUGAGGUGGGGGUGAGGUGGACCCAGGCUGGCUUCCCAGAUGCAAAGGUCUCUCAGGUCGUGGAGGAAUGUCAAGAUGAUGAGCAGCAAUCAGAAGGGAGGUGGACCCAGGCUUCCAUGGGAGUGAACCUUGAAAACAUUAUGCUAAGUGCACAAACCAGUCACAAAAGACAAACACUACUGGAUAGCGUGGAGUACCCAAGGUGUCAAGUUCACAGAGAAUGUAGAAUGGGAACGAUCCCAUGCUGGGGAGAUGGUGAUGGAACAUAUUUAGAGCUUCAGUUGGAAAAGAAAGCUACCCUGGAGAUGCAAUGCCUGUGAAUGUGCUUAACGCUUCAGAACUGUAUGGUGUAAAGUAGCACAUUGAAUGCUCUGUGUACUUCACCACAAUAAAGAAAGGAAGCUGAUUUCCCCUGUC